AGAGUGGGCUCUGCUGGACCCCACUCAGAGAGCCCUCUACUGGGAUGUCAUGCAGGAGAACUAUGAGACUGUGACCUCGCUGGGCCAGAGAAUAACAUCCAUGUUUUGCUGCAGAUCAUCUCGUCCUCCCAGGGGCAAGGAAAUGGCUGCAAUGGAGCUGGCUCAGGGGCCGGUGACCUUCGAGGAGGUGGCUGUGUAUUUCUCCAGGGAAGAGGGGACUCUGCUGGACCCCACUCAGAGAGCCCUCUACAGAGAUGUCA